UUAAGUUAUUAAGGGCGCACGGUGGAUGCCUUGGCACUAGAAGCCGAUGAAGGACGUUACUAACGACGAUAUGCUUUGGGGAGCUGUAAGUAAGCUUUGAUCCAGAGAUUUCCGAAUGGGGAAACCCAGCAUGAGUUAUGUCAUGUUAUCGAUAUGUGAAUACAUAGCAUAUCAGAAGGCACACCCGGAGAACUGAAACAUCUUAGUACCCGGAGGAAGAGAAAGAAAAUUCGAUUCCCUUAGUAGCGGCGAGCGAAACGGGAAGAGCCCAAACCAACAAGCUUGCUUGUUGGGGUUGUAGGACACUCUAUACGGAGUUACAAAGGACGACAUUAGACGAAUCAUCUGGAAAGAUGAAUCAAAGAAGGUAAUAAUCCUGUAGUCGAAAAUGUUGUCUCUCUUGAGUGGAUCCUGAGUACGACGGAGCACGUGAAAUUCCGUCGGAAUCUGGGAGGACCAUCUCCUAAGGCUAAAUACUCUCUAGUGACCGAUAGUGAACCAGUACCGUGAGGGAAAGGUGAAAAGCACCCCGGAAGGGGAGUGAAAUAGAACCUGAAACCGUGUGCUUACAAGUAGUCAGAGCCCGUUAAUGGGUGAUGGCGUGCCUUUUGUAGAAUGAACCGGCGAGUUACGAUUUGAUGCAAGGUUAAGCAGUAAAUGUGGAGCCGUAGCGAAAGCGAGUCUGAAUAGGGCGUUUAGUAUUUGGUCGUAGACCCGAAACCAGGUGAUCUACCCUUGGUCAGGUUGAAGUUCAGGUAACACUGAAUGGAGGACCGAACCGACUUACGUUGAAAAGUGAGCGGAUGAACUGAGGGUAGCGGAGAAAUUCCAAUCGAACCUGGAGAUAGCUGGUUCUCUCCGAAAUAGCUUUAGGGCUAGCCUCAAGUGAUGAUUAUUGGAGGUAGAGCACUGUUUGGACGAGGGGCCCCUCUCGGGUUACCGAAUUCAGACAAACUCCGAAUGCCAAUUAAUUUAACUUGGGAGUCAGAACAUGGGUGAUAAGGUCCGUGUUCGAAAGGGAAACAGCCCAGACCACCAGCUAAGGUCCCAAAAUAUAUGUUAAGUGGAAAAGGAUGUGGCGUUGCCCAGACAACUAGGAUGUUGGCUUAGAAGCAGCCAUCAUUUAAAGAGUGCGUAAUAGCUCACUAGUCGAGUGACACUGCGCCGAAAAUGUACCGGGGCUAAACAUAUUACCGAAGCUGUGGAUUGUCCUUUGGACAAUGGUAGGAGAGCGUUCUAAGGGCGUUGAAGCAUGAUCGUAAGGACAUGUGGAGCGCUUAGAAGUGAGAAUGCCGGUGUGAGUAGCGAAAGACGGGUGAGAAUCCCGUCCACCGAUUGACUAAGGUUUCCAGAGGAAGGCUCGUCCGCUCUGGGUUAGUCGGGUCCUAAGCUGAGGCCGACAGGCGUAGGCGAUGGAUAACAGGUUGAUAUUCCUGUACCACCUAUAAUCGUUUUAAUCGAUGGGGGGACGCAGUAGGAUAGGCGAAGCGUGCGAUUGGAUUGCACGUCUAAGCAGUAAGGCUGAGUAUUAGGCAAAUCCGGUACUCGUUAAGGCUGAGCUGUGAUGGGGAGAAGACAUUGAGUCUUCGAGUCGUUGAUUUCACACUGCCGAGAAAAGCCUCUAGAUAGAAAAUAGGUGCCCGUACCGCAAACCGACACAGGUAGUCAAGAUGAGAAUUCUAAGGUGAGCGAGCGAACUCUCGUUAAGGAACUCGGCAAAAUGACUCCGUAACUUCGGGAGAAGGGGUGCUCUUUAGGGUUAACGCCCAGAAGAGCCGCAGUGAAUAGGCCCAAGCGACUGUUUAUCAAAAACACAGGUCUCUGCUAAACCGUAAGGUGAUGUAUAGGGGCUGACGCCUGCCCGGUGCUGGAAGGUUAAGAGGAGUGGUUAGCUUCUGCGAAGCUACGAAUCGAAGCCCCAGUAAACGGCGGCCGUAACUAUAACGGUCCUAAGGUAGCGAAAUUCCUUGUCGGGUAAGUUCCGACCCGCACGAAAGGCGUAACGAUUUGGGCACUGUCUCAACGAGAGACUCGGUGAAAUCAUAGUACCUGUGAAGAUGCAGGUUACCCGCGACAGGACGGAAAGACCCCGUGGAGCUUUACUGUAGCCUGAUAUUGAAAUUCGGCACAGCUUGUACAGGAUAGGUAGGAGCCUUUGAAACGUGAGCGCUAGCUUACGUGGAGGCGCUGGUGGGAUACUACCCUAGCUGUGUUGGCUUUCUAACCCGCACCACUUAUCGUGGUGGGAGACAGUGUCAAGCGGGCAGUUUGACUGGGGCGGUCGCCUCCUAAAAGGUAACGGAGGCGCUCAAAGGUUCCCUCAGAAUGGUUGGAAAUCAUUCAUAGAGUGUAAAGGCAUAAGGGAGCUUGACUGCGAGACCUACAAGUCGAGCAGGGUCGAAAGACGGACUUAGUGAUCCGGUGGUUCCGCAUGGAAGGGCCAUCGCUCAACGGAUAAAAGCUACCCCGGGGAUAACAGGCUUAUCUCCCCCAAGAGUUCACAUCGACGGGGAGGUUUGGCACCUCGAUGUCGGCUCAUCGCAUCCUGGGGCUGUAGUCGGUCCCAAGGGUUGGGCUGUUCGCCCAUUAAAGCGGUACGCGAGCUGGGUUCAGAACGUCGUGAGACAGUUCGGUCCCUAUCCGUCGUGGGCG
rnacentral:rRNA from 1 species